CAGCAGCCGCGGUAAUUCCAGCUCCAAUAGCGUAUAUUAAAGUUGUUGUGGUUAAAAAGCUCGUAGUUGGAUCUCGGCGGACUGAGGGCGGUUUGCUUGCUAGUAUUACUGCCCUAUAGUCCGUAGUUUUGCCAGAGGUUUCGGGGUGCUCUUAAUCGAGUGUCCCGGGAUGCUGGCAGGUUUACUUUGAAAAAAUUAGAGUGCUCAAAGCAGGCUAUUACGCCUGAAUAUUCGUGCAUGGAAUAAUAGAAUAGGAAGUCGUUUCUAUUUUGUUGGUUUUCGGAAAUCGACUUAAUGAUUAAUAGGGACAGUCGGGGGCAUUUGUAUUCAAACGACAGAGGUGAAAUUCUUGGACCAUUUGAAGACAAACUACUGCGAAAGCAUUUGCCAAGAAUGUUUUCAUUAAUCAAGAACGAAAGUUAAAGGUUCGAAGGCGAUUAGAUACCGCCCUAGUUUUAACCAUAAACGAUGCCAGCUAGCGAUCUGCGGACGUUUUUUUUGUAGACUCCGCAGGAAGCUUCCGGGAAACCAAAGCAUUUGGGUUCCAGGGGAAGUAUGGUUGCAAAGCUGAAACUUAAAGGAAUUGACGGAAGGGCACCACCAGGAGUGGAGCCUGUGGCUUAAUUUGACUCAACACGGGAAAUCUCACCAGGCCCGGACACUGGAAGGAUUGACAGAUUGAUAGCUCUUUCUUGAUUCGGUGGGUGGUGGUGCAUGGCCGUUCUUAGUUGGUGGAGUGAUUUGUCUGGUUAAUUCCGAUAACGAACGAGACUCUGUCCUGCUAAAUAGUGUCUGCUUCUCUUUUGAGCAGACAAUUCUUCUUAGAGGGACUGGCGACUCUUAGUCGCACGAGAUUGAGCAAUAACAGGUCUGUGAUGCCC
rnacentral:rRNA from 1 species